rnacentral:tRNA from 20 species
GGCCCUGUGGCGCAGUUGGUUAGCGUGCCGCCCUGUCACGGCGGAGGUCGCGGGUUCAAGUCCCGUCAGGGUCG